CAAGGCUUGACAUCCCUCGCAAUCUGUGGAAACAUGGAGUUCCCUUCGGGGACGAGGAGACAGGUGGUGCAUGGUUGUCGUCAGCUCGUGUCGUGAGAUGUUGGGUUAAGUCCCGCAACGAGCGCAACCCUUACGUCUAGUUGCCAGCAUUAAGUUGGGCACUCUAGAGGGACUGCCGGUGACAAACCGGAGGAAGGUGGGGAUGACGUCAAAUCAUCAUGCCCCUUAUGUCUUGGGCUACACACGUACUACAAUGGGCGGUACAGAGGGCAGCAAUACCGCGAGGUGGAGCAAAUCCCUUAAAGCCGUUCUCAGUUCGGAUUGCAGGCUGCAACUCGCCUGCAUGAAGUCGGAAUCGCUAGUAAUCGCAGGUCAGCAUACUGCGGUGAAUACGUUCC
rnacentral:rRNA from 1 species